rnacentral:rRNA from 1 species
GACGAACGCUGGCGGCGUGCUUAACACAUGCAAGUCGAGCGGUAAGGCCCUUUCGGGGGUACGACGAGCGGCGAACGGGUGAGUAACACGUGGGUGACCUGCCCUCAGCUCUGGGAGUAAGCCUGGGAAACCGGGUACUAAUACCGGAUAUGACUCCAUGACGCAUGUUGUGGGGUGGAAAGCCUUGUGCGGCUGAGGAUGGGCCCGCGGCCUAUCAGCUUGUUGGUGGGGUGAUGGCCUACCAAGGCGACGA